UCUUGAAGGAUGUAAUUUUGAGUGUGUACAGGAAACGGGGGGCCGCAGGGGAGUCUUAAGGGUCCCCUGUGAGUGACAAGGGCAAGUCUUAUUUCCAGCUUGGUCCAGUCUGCCAGCCUUGUCAAUGAAAUACCAGGAUUCCCUUCCUGAAUGCUCCAUAGUGGAAUCAGGCAGAAUGCUUCUGAGAUUCAUCCGUGUUGUCCGUCGGUAGAUGGUCUGCUCCUUUUGAUUGCUGACUCGUACGUAAUUUAUCCUAUGAAUGAAUGAGCCACCGUUUGAUCCAUUCCCCAGGUUACACACCAGGAGUGGGACUGCAGGAUCGUACGAGUGUGUGUUUAACAUCAUGGGAAACUGCCAUGCCGUUUUUCAGAGCGGCUGCACCAUUUCACAUUCCCACUAGUGACGUAGGAGCCUGAUAGCUGCUCUGCAUUCCCACAUCUGCUUUUUCUCAUCAUUGAAUUUCUACCAUCAAGCAUAGAACAUGGCACUGGGGCCGCCAGCCUGUACAUAUAGAUUUUGCAGCCUGGAUUUUCACUUGACAUCCUAUCAGAAGCUUUUCCCUAUGUCGGACUCAGUCCCUGGUAACCGCUGCGGAGUCGGGGCAUGUGUAUAUUAGGAUGUUAUUUCAAUGAAGAAAUACGUGAGGCUGGGUAAUUUACAGAGAAAAGAGGUUCCAUUGGCUGGUGGUUCUGCAGGCUGUACGAGCAUGGCACAGGCAUGUUUCUGGGGAGGCCUCAGGAAGCUUCCAAUCAUGGCGGAAGGCAAAGGCGGGCAGGUGUAUCACAUGGUGAGGGAGAGAGCAAAAAGGGGGCGUCCCAGGCUCUUAAACCACCAGAUGUGGCAUGAACUACCUGAGGGAGAACUCACUCUUCACCAAGGGGCUGGCGCUAAACUAUUCCUGAGGGACCCACCCCCAGGAUUUAAUCACCUCCCACAGGGCCCACCUCCAACAUGGGAAUCCUAUUUCAACACGAGAUUUGGAGGGGACAAACCUCCCACAUCAGCACACAUCCAUUCAGCAGAUGGGUUGUGAGCCCCCGGGUAUGGGAGGCUGUGACAAGCAAGGAGACUAAUCGGGCUGUGCUCUGGCUGGGAAGAUGGACCCCACCCAGGGUCAUUUCAGAUGGGGCAAUACACAGUGGUGGGGAGGGAGAUCUGGGUGGUGUCCCUUGGGGGCCUCUCAAAGGAAGGGACAUUGGGACUGGGACCUGGAUGACCACCAGGAGUCUGCUGGAGCUGCAGGGACAUGUGUGGCACAUUGGAAAGUCACAUGAGAAAGGGGAAAGGCCUAUUUUGGAACAAGACCCCCCCCCCGGAUUGAGUGAGGGAUGGAACAUGGGACGAGGGGGACAUGAGGGAUCUCAGAUGCCUGCAAGUCUCCUUCCUGGGCCUUUGGGCAGGUGGUGGUGCCAUAUACAGUGUCAGAGAAGGAAGGAUCAUGCUUAGGCUGCUGCCCCUGCUCCCCGCUUGAUAUGAUUUGGCUCUGUGUCCCCAUACAAAUCUCAUCUCGAAUUAUAAUCCCCAUGUGUCAAUGGAGGGAGGUGAUGGAUCAUGGGGGCGGUUCCUCCCAUGCUGUUCUCAUGAUAGUGAGUUCUCACAAGAUCUGAUGAUUCUAUAAGUGCUUGACAGUUUCUCCUUCAAAGUCUCCCUCUCUCUCUCCUGCCACCAUGUAAAACAUGCCUGCUUCCCCUUUUGCCAUGAUCGUAAGGUUCCUGAGACCUCUCCAGCCAAGCAGAACUGUGAGUCAACUAAACCUCCUUCUUUAUAAAUUACCCCAUCUUGGGUAUUUCUUUAUAGCAGAAUGAGAGCAGACUAACACGUGCCCUCUCCCCAGAGCCAGCAUUCAGCAGGAAGGAGGAAGGAGUACUUUCUGCUUCUCUUUCACUAGUCAGGAUAAAGAGGGAUGGUGCCAGAGGAGGAUAAAGAGUUAAUUUCAUUCCAAUAAAAAUGGGACCCUUGAAAUUUAUUUAAAAUAUCAUUGUUUGCUCUUUCAGAUUGCAAAAACAACUACUAGUCAUUAUGGAAACGUGUAAAAAUAUUAAAAAGUACAAAGAAGAGAACAGUAGUUCCUCAUGAUCCCAUUGCCCAGAGACCCACCGAGGCCUUUCUGAGUAUUCCUUAUAGUAAGACCUUCAUCAGUGUCUGUGUCUGCAUUUAUUCAUUCCUUCAAUGGACUUUUUGAGCACCCACUACGUGCCAGUCAUUUUUCUAGAUGCAAAGGAUGUAGCAGGGAAUAAAAACACAAAAAAAUCCCAUCAUGAUGGAGCUGACAUUCUAGUGAGGGCCACAAACAAAAUGUUCAGUAAAUGAUGUAGUACAGUCUAUUCUAAGGGUACAAGUGCUGUGAGAAAUGAAAGCAGGGAACCCUGAGGAGGGUGCUCAAUGGGGUUUGGAUUUUAAGUGGGGCACUCAGGGAAGGUGUCACUGAGAGGUGACAUUUGAGCAGAGGCUUGAAUUUUUGGAGGGAGCGAAGGCAACUGUAGGGAAGGGGAGAGAGGACAGCAGGUACAAAGGCCCCCCAGGAGGUGGGCCUGGGUGGUUCAGGAGGCACAAGAAGGCCAAUUGGUGGGU